rnacentral:rRNA from 1 species
UACGUAGGGGGCAAGCGUUGUCCGGAUUUAUUGGGCGUUAAAGAGCGUGUAGGCGGCCACGCAGGUCCGUUGUGAAAACUGGAGGCUCAACCUCCAGCUGUCGACGGAACCGUGUGGCUAGAGUCCGGAAGAGGAGAGUGGAAUUCCUGGGUGUGAGUCGGUGGAAAUGCGCAGAUAUCAGGAAGAACACCAAUGGCGAAGGCAGCUCUCUGGGGACGGUACUGACGCUGAGACGCGAAAGCGUGGGGAGCGAACAGG